GCAGACACAUUCCAGUCAAUCAGCAGCAGACCCUCCCUCCCAGACCCUCCCACCUCCUGGACAGCAUCCAUUUUGUGAAGCUGCAUUCUUAGUGAGCUGUCCAGGAGGUGGGAGGGUCUGGGAGGGAGGGUCUGCUGCUGAUUGGCUGGAAUGUGUCUG